UACAGAGGUCUCAAGCGUUGUUCGGAUUCAUUGGGCGUAAAGGGUGCGUAGGUGGCUGGGUAAGUUUGAUGUGAAAUCUCCGGGCUCAACCCGGAAAAUGCAUUGAAUACUAUCCAGCUAGAGGUUUGGAGGGGGGACUGGAAUUCUUGGUGUAGCAGUGAAAUGCGUAGAUAUCAAGAGGAACACCAGUGGCGAAGGCGAGUCCCUGGACAAAUCCUGACACUGAGGCACGAAGGCCAGGGGAGCAAACGGG
rnacentral:rRNA from 1 species